GCGAAAACUUUACAAUGCUGGCAACAGCGAUAAGGGAACCUCGAGUGCCAGGUUACAAAUCUGGCUGUCGAGAUGCCUAAAAAGCAUUUCAUAGCAAGGGCCGGGCAAGACCGGUGCCAGCCGCCGCGGUAACACCGGCGGCUCGAGUGGUAACCGUUAUUAUUGGGUCUAAAGGGUCUGUAGCCGGCCGGAUAAGUCUCUUGAGAAAUCUGGCAGCUUAACUGUCAGGCUUUCAGGAGAUACUGUCUGGCUCGAGGCCGGGAGAGGUGAGAGGUACUUCAGGGGUAGGGGUGAAAUCUUGUAAUCCUUGAAGGACCGCCAGUGGCGAAGGCGUCUAACCAGAGCGGACCUGGCGGCAAGGGACGAAAGCUAGGGGCACGAACC
rnacentral:rRNA from 1 species